rnacentral:rRNA from 1 species
UGUUGGGUAGGGGAGCGUUGUGUAAGCCGAAGAAGGUGGUUCGAGAGGGCUGCUGGAGGUAUCACAAGUGCGAAUGCUGACAUAAGUAACGAUAAAGCGGGUGAAAGGCCCGCUCGCCGGAAGACCAAGGUUUCCUGUCCAACGUUAAUCGGGGCAGGGUGAGUCGGCCCCUAAGGCGAGGCUGAGAAGCGUAGUCGAUGGGAAAUGGGUUAAUAUUCCCAUACUUGGAUAAACUGCGAUGUGGGGACGGAGCAGGUUAGGUUAGCGUACGGAUGGAAGAGUACGUUUAAGUUGGUAGGUGGGGUGUUUAGGCAAAUCCGGGCACCUGAUAACACUGAGAGAUGAUGACGAGGCUCUACGGAGCUGAAGUAACUGAUACCCAACUUCCAGGAAAAGCCACUAAGCGAGAGGUUUAUCUAAACCGUACUGGAAACCGACACAGGUGGUCAGGUAGAGAAUACUAAGGCGCUUGAGAGAACUCGGGUGAAGGAACUAGGCAAAAUAGCACCGUAACUUCGGGAGAAGGUGCGCUGGCGUAGUGUGAAGUUCUUCGCGAAUGGAGCAUGAACCAGUCGAAGCGACGAGCUGGCUGCAACUGUUUAAUAAAAACACAGCACUCUGCAAACACGAAAGUGGACGUAUAGGGUGUGAUGCCUGCCCGGUGCUGGAAGGUUAAUUGAUGGUGUCAUCGAAAGAGAAGCACCUGAUCGAAGCCCCAGUAAACGGCGGCCGUAACUAUAACGGUCCUAAGGUAGCGAAAUUCCUUGUCGGGUAAGUUCCGACCUGCACGAAUGGCAUAAUGAUGGCCAGGCUGUCUCCACCCGAGACUCAGUGAAAUUGAAAUCGCCGUGAAGAUGCGGUGUACCCGCGGCUAGACGGAAAGACCCCGUGAACCUUUACUAUAGCUUGACACUGAACCUUGAAUUUUAAUGUGUAGGAUAGGUGGGAGACUAAGAAGCGGUAACGCCAGUUAUCGUGGAGUCGGUGUUGAAAUACCACUCUUUAACGUUUGAUGUUCUAACGAGGCGCCUGGGACAGGUGUUCGGACAGUGUCUGGUGGGUAGUUUGACUGGGGCGGUCUCCUCCCAAAGCGUAACGGAGGAGCACGAAGGUUGGCUAAUGACGGUCGGACAUCGUCAGGUUAGUGCAAUGGUAGAAGCCAGCUUAACUGCGAGACGGACAAGUCGAGCAGGUACGAAAGUAGGUCAUAGUGAUCCGGUGGUUCUGAAUGGAAGGGCCAUCGCUCAACGGAUAAAAGGUACUCCGGGGAUAACAGGCUGAUACCGCCCAAGAGUUCAUAUCGACGGCGGUGUUUGGCACCUCGAUGUCGGCUCAUCACAUCCUGGGGCUGAAGUAGGUCCCAAGGGUAUGGCUGUUCGCCAUUUAAAGUGGUACGCGAGCUGGGUUUAGAACGUCGUGAGACAGUUCGGUCCCUAUCUGCCGUGGGCGUUGGAGGAUUGAGGGGGGUUGCUCCUAGUACGAGAGGACCGGAGUGAACGCACCGCUGGUGUUCCAGUUGUUUCGCCAGAAGCAUUGCUGGGUAGCUAAGUGCGGAAGAGAUAAGUGCUGAAAGCAUCUAAGCACGAAACUUGCCCCGAGAUGAGUUCUCCCAGUCUAAGAGACUGUAAGGGUUGUUGAAGACGACGACGUAGAUAGGUGGGGUGUGUAAGCGGUGUGAGCCGUUGAGCUAACCCAUACUAAUUGCCCGAGAGGCUUAACUAUACAACGCUGAAGGGUUUU